UACAGAGGGGGCAAGCGUUGUUCGGAAUUACUGGGCGUAAAGGGCGCGUAGGCGGCCUUCUAAGUCGAACGUGAAAUCCCCGGGCUCAACCCGGGAACUGCGUCCGAUACUGGGAGGCUUGAAUCCGGGAGAGGGAUGUGGAAUUCCAGGUGUAGCGGUGAAAUGCGUAGAUAUCUGGAGGAACACCGGUGGCGAAGGCGACAUCCUGGACCGGUAUUGACGCUGAGGCGCGAAAGCCAGGGGAGCAAACGGG
rnacentral:rRNA from 1 species